UGAGGAAUAUUGGUCAAUGGGCGAGAGCCUGAACCAGCCAAAUCGCGUGAAGGAAGACUGCCUUAUGGGUUGUAAACUUCUUUUAUACAGGAAUAAAAAACGGGGACGUGUCCCCUUAUUGCAUGUACUGUAUGAAUAAGCAUCGGCUAACUCCGUGCCAGCAGCCCGGUAAUACGGAGGAUGCGAGCGUUAUCCGGAUUUAUUGGGUUUAAAGGGUGCGCAGGCGGGCUUUUAAGUCAGCGGUGAAAUCUCGGGCUUAACUCCGAAACUGCCGUUGAAACUGGGAGUCUUGAGUAUGGAUGAAGUAGGCGGAAUUCGUUGUGUAGCGGUGACAUGCUUAGAUAUAACGAGGAACUCCGGAUUGCGUAGGCAGCUUACUAAGCCAUAACUGACGCUCAAGCACGAAAGCGUGGGGAUC
rnacentral:rRNA from 1 species